GAGUUUGAUCCUGGCUCAGGACGAACGCUGGCGGCGCGCCUAACACAUGCAAGUCGAACGAGAGAUGAGGAGCUUGCUCUUCAAAUCGAGUGGCGAACGGGUGAGUAACGCGUGAGGAACCUGCCUCAAAGAGGGGGACAACAGUUGGAAACGACUGCUAAUACCGCAUAAGCCCACGGCUCGGCAUCGAGCAGAGGGAAAAGGAGUGAUCCGCUUUGAGAUGGCCUCGCGUCCGAUUAGCUAGUUGGUGAGGUAACGGCCCACCAAGGCGACGAUCGGUAGCCGGACUGAGAGGUUGAACGGCCACAUUGGGACUGAGACACGGCCCAGACUCCUACGGGAGGCAGCAGUGGGGAAUAUUGCGCAAUGGGGGAAACCCUGACGCAGCAACGCCGCGUGAAGGAUGAAGGUCUUCGGAUUGUAAACUUCUAUCAGCAGGGAAGAUAGUGACGGUACCUGACUAAGAAGCCCCGGCUAACUACGUGCCAGCCGCCGCGGUAAUUC
rnacentral:rRNA from 1 species